UACGUAGGGUGCGAGCGUUGUCCGGAAUUAUUGGGCGUAAAGAGCUUGUAGGUGGUUUGUCGCGUCUGCUGUGAAAAUCCGAGGCUCAACCUCGGACUUGCAGUGGGUACGGGCAGACUAGAGUGUGGUAGGGGAGACUGGAAUUCCUGGUGUAGCGGUGGAAUGCGCAGAUAUCAGGAGGAACACCGAUGGCGAAGGCAGGUCUCUGGGCCGAAAACUGACGCUGAGGAGC
rnacentral:rRNA from 1 species